UUUGUGUUUUGGAAGUUAUAGAUGAAGAUUAAAAGGAAUAAUUUUUUUGAAUUUAAGUUUACUAUUUCAGGUUAUAGUAUGAAAAAUUAGAGUCUUGAGGUUUAUGUUUAGAGUUUAGGGUUUUAAACAUUUUUAGGUUUAGGGUUUCAUAGAUUAGAAAUUGAUCUUUCAUAGCAAUUUUCAAAACAAAGCUAUCAUAAUGUGCUAUCGAAAAAGAGAAAAAAUUAUGUCUUGCGCUCGCCUAGUUUUCGCCUAAGUAUUGGCGAUAUUAGUGGUUUAAUAAACUAUCACUUCAUUAU
rnacentral:lncRNA from 1 species